AUGUCGAUGAGCUACAGAUCUCUCUCCCACAAGAGCUUCCUCCUUCCCAAACACCAAGCCCAAGCGAUGGGCUCCCGCCGUCAUCCUAGUCCUCCUACGACCCUAGUCUUCCUGGUGUUGCUGCUAUGCCUCUUCUGUGCGCCGCGCUGGGCCUUCUCGCUCUCCUUCAACCUCAACUUCUCCGACCCCAUGGCCUUUUCAUCGAUCGUCAUCGCCGGCGAUGCAUCCAUCAGCCCACCAACGCUCGAGCUGACAAAAAGUGAACGGAAUACAAAUAUUCAGGACAGCUUCGGCCGGGCGUCGUACGCGCACAAGGUGCCUCUAUGGAGCAACGCCACCGGCGAGGUGGCUUGCUUCACCACCACCUUCUCCUUCCUAAUCACUCCAGACAAGGCCAGCCUGCCGAAUACAGGCGAUGGGAUGGCCUUCUUCCUCGCGCAUUUCCCAUCGGUGAUCUCGCCCCUGAGCAACGGCGGUGGCCUCGGCCUCCUCCCGAGAGCCGCCAACGACGGUGGCCUCCCCAACAACACUGACGCGACAGGGGACAGCCGAAUCGUGGCCGUCGAGUUCGACACUUACGACAACUCGGCUUAUCGCGACAUCAAUGGGAACCAUGUCGGCAUCGACGUAAACUCCCUCAUCUCCGCCGCGUCAACGGACACAACGACCUCGCCGGGCGAGAACCUCACGUCCCUCCAUGUCAUGAAAGCCACGGUGAAGUACCACAACGAGUCCAAGAUGCUGGCAGUUCAUCUCGUUAUUGGUGAUGCCUUGUACCAGGUUAAUGCAACCAUUGAUUUGAGGAAAUGUUUACCAGAAGAGGUCGCGGUCGGCUUCUCAGGGGCGACUGGCACGGUCGCUGAGCUGCACCAGAUACUGUCAUGGUCAUUUAGCUCCACUCUCCAGGUUGAAUCAAAGAAGGAAGCACAUCCACCUGCUGAACCUCCUCUUCCAAUUCCAACCACUAGCCGCAACGUCCACAAAAAGUUGGUACCCAUCCUAGCAUCUGUCCUAGUUCCUCUCCUUUUUUUGUUGGUCUGUGCGACCGCAGUGCUGGGAUGGCGUCGACACAAGAAAAGAAGAGCAAACGAGGACAGCGAAGAAGAGUGUGACGACAGAGCUGAACUCGAGAGAGGUGUGGUUGCGGGCGGCCCCAGAAGGUACAUCUACCACGAGCUGGUCGCAGCAACGAGCAACUUUGCGGAAGACGAGAAGCUCGGGCGAGGCGGCUUCGGGUGCGUUUACCGGGGUCACCUCACACUCACACCUGCCGUCGGUGGUGCCCAAGACCGCCGUGCGGUGGCGGUGAAGGUACUGUCAGCGGAGUCGUCAGCGCAGGGGAGGAAGGAGUUCGAGGCAGAGGUGAGGAUCAUCAGCAGAUUGAAGCAUCGCAACCUUGUGCAGCUGUUGGGUUGGUGCGACAGCCGCAAGGGGCUCCUGCUUGUCUACGAGCUUGUUGCGGAGGGCAGCCUAGACAGGCACCUCUACAGCAACGACGACAGCUAUCUUACAUGGCCACAGAGGUACAACAUCAUCCUCGGCUUGGGAUCUGCGCUGCGCUACCUCCACAGAGAGUGGGAGCAGUGCAUCGUGCACGGUGACAUCAAGCCCAGCAACAUCAUGCUCGACUCGUCGCUCAACACCAAGCUUGGGGACUUUGGGUUGGCUCGGCUCGUCGACCACGGCACCGGGUCAAUGCAGACCACGAAGGCCGUGCUUGGCACCGUCGGCUACAUCGACCCAGAGUUCGUCAACACGCACCGGCCCAGCAAAGAGUCGGACGUGUACAGCUUCGGCAUCGUCCUCCUAGAGAUUGCCUCCGGCCGGCGGCCGGUGAUCGAGACCGCGGAGAGGUCCUUCACACUGCUCAGCUGGGUGUGGGGUCUCUACGGGAGGGACGCGAUCCUUGACGCGGCUGACGAACGGCUGAGGGGCGACGAGGCGGACGAGCGGUGGAUGGAGCGGGUGCUGGUCGUCGGGCUCUGGUGCGCGCAGCCGGACCAGAGCGAGCGGCCGUCUGUGGCGCAGGCCAUGCAUGUCCUGCAGUCCGACGAGGCGAGGCUGCCGGCGCUGCCGCUGCACAUGUACAGAGGUGCACCGAAUCUUGCGUCGUCCGUCCCGUACGGGUCUUUCUCCGUGGACAGCUCCGGCUCCGGUUGCGUUCGCUCUUCUUCCGUCAGCACUGGCAACACCACUGUUUCUUCCGAGUCAUCCUCAACCGCGCUGCUACGUCAUUCCAAGGAUCAAGCUACGUAG
rnacentral:rRNA from 1 species